ACGGCCAUACCAUGCUGAAUAUACCGGUUCUCGCUUCAAACAAAAGAUCACCGAAGUCAAGCAUCAUUGGGCGCGGUCAGUACUUGGGUGGGUGACCACCUGGGAACACCGCGUGCAGU